ACUGCAUGAACCUUAGCCUCCAAUCCUUUGCCGGCACACCCCCGCGCCUCCCUCACUCCACUGCAGCCGCCACACCUCUCUCUCCUCCGUUCUCUCUUCUCCCACAUUAACCACAGCCACAGCCCCAGGAGCUCCGCCGUCCCCAUCGAGGAGAUCCAUGGCCUCCCGAGGUGCUCAUUUGCCCGGGUCACGAGGAAGCGGGGGGAGGAGGAGACCUCGUCGCUAGGGAGCUGCGGGAGGAGGAUCUCAACCCAAGAGGAGAGGAUGCCAGCCAGGGAGUCAUCUUGGCUCGACGCGGUCCUUUGCGUCUUGAACCUCGCGUCGUAGGCGGUGGUAUAGCACACGGCGGCCUCACCGGGUGGGUGACGGCGGCUGCAGCUGGUGCAUGACCUCGCAUCCUGGGUGCAUGCUCAAUUAGCUCGCAUCUUCAUGGCCUUCAGGUGCACAAGUGAAUCCCCAACCAUCUCCCCCUCUCCCCCCCUCUCUCUCUCUCUGCCUUUGAGGUUGGAAAUGUGAGCACUAGCUGUUUGUAAAAAUGCUCAAGGGAGCUGCUCAGAGGAGGGCAGUAUGUGUGUUCGAGAGAGAGGGAUGGAAAAUAGGGUGACUCGGAUAAGUGGAUAAGAAAGUUAUUAGUUGAUUCCUAUGAAAGAAAAGUAAAUACCAGGCAUGUUACACUUAGAGUGUGAUUGUUGGUUCCAUUUGCAUAUAAUUAGAGUAAACUGCACUGGAUCCACAUACUUUCUCCACCUCCCUUGAAAGCUAAUGUAUUUGGCCCCCAUUUUACUGUCAAUUUGUAGUAUGCUUUCUUAUGCUUGGGUGUUUAAUAGAUUUUAGGUUUGAGCAGCUAAUUGUCAAAUUUAAAAGUAUAAGGGACAAGAUAAAUUGUGAUCUUGCAUUGUCUACUCCUCUAUUGAUGUGGCUCUUGAUUUCUGAAGCUCCCAGGAUUUAAUAAGCUAUCUUGGGCUUCAUUGGACAAAUGAUCUACCUGGAGCAAUGAUACAGACAUGUAUUUUAUUUUAAACACUAAAAGCAUUAAGUUAUCAGGUACUAAAACAUCGGAAUUAUGUUAAUUGGUUGUCCUUUGAUGGCAGUGUAGAUCGGCAUUGAAGCCUGAUGGCCUUUUUCUUGCACCAAUUCUUCUCUCGUGUGUGCUCCAGUUUUGAUAAUCUUUUGGGACCAUUUUUCUGUAACUGCUUACACAGAUGUUUAAUUAGUUGCACAAACAUACAUACAUGAUUCUGCAAGGAAAUUACUUUCUUUAAUCUGUUCUUUAUAAAUGUUUUUUCAGUGGUUCUUUAAUAUAGAUGUUUCAUUUCUUGCAUAAGCAUAUAUGAUUCUAUGACCAAAAUAUUUUCACUGGUCUGUUUUAGAGAGAUGUUUGAUUAGCUGCACAACAUACAUAGUUCUGUUAGUAAUUUGUUUUCCCUGGUCAUCUUGAUAUGUAGUUCUGUUGGUGACCAUUUGCAUGGUGGGUCAUGUUAGCAAUGGGUAUAAGGGUAUCGAAUGCCCAGCCUUUAUAUUUUCAUCAGGUGUAUGUAUUCACCACUAUGCAUGUGUAUAUGUUGUUGGCCUAACUAUAUACAUUUUGUUGGUGUGAUGAUUCAUCCUCUAAAAAUUUAUAUUGUCUCCUGUUUUGCUUGAUGUUCGAGGUUUGGCUUUAAAAAGAAGCUAUUUCUAACGAAGGGUCAAUGGGAGAAAAAGGAACCAUGGUGACCGACUGCACUUGAUCCGUGAGCUGUACGAGACCUUCCGUAAGUUCAAAAUUCGUGUUUCAGAUUAUGUGCACCACAGAAAGAUAACUUCCAGCAUGAAUGGACAGUUUCCAGAUGCUACAGCACAUGAGCUUAUUGUGAGUGAUGUUACAUGUAUUAUCUGUCGUGAAGAGAUGACAACAACAAAGAAGCUACUUUGUGGGCACUUGUUCCAUGGCAUUGUCUGAGGUCAUGGCGAGAGCGCCAACAUACUUGCCCACAUGUAGAUCUCCCAUUGCCUCCGAACAAUGGACGUGCUCCAUCAGCGCGACAACAUGAAGCUCAACUAGGAGUUACCUUGCUGCAGGCAUCGGUGCUCCAGGUUCAGAAGGAGUAACAAGCAAGAACGUGAACAGGCGCCCAACAAAACUUGAGGCCUACAUGAACUGGUGCCCAACAAAACAGGCA